GACUCGGUAGCGUAACGGUAGCGCGUCUGACUCCAGAUCAGAAGGCUGCGUGUUCAAAUCACGUCCGGGUCA
rnacentral:tRNA from 13 species